rnacentral:tRNA from 1 species
GGGGAGGUAGUCUAGCUUGGUCAAGGUUCAGACCGCCAACAGGAUUCCAGAGCGUUCAAAAAACGCGGGGAACCUGGGGCGCUGGUGAUCCCGGGUUCAAAUCCCGGCCUCCCCA